UGGGGAAUAUUGCGACAAUGGGCGCAAGCCUGAUCCAGCCAUGCCGCGUGUGUGAAGAAGGCCUUCGGGUUGUAAAGCACUUUUGUCGGGGAGGAAGGGNNGNAGGUUAAUACCCUGUUGUANUGACGNUACCCNNAGAAUAAGCACCGGCUAACUNCGUGCCAGCAGCCGCGGUAAUACGNAGGGUGCAAGCGUUAAUCGGAAUUACUGGGCGUAAAGCGNGCGCAGGNGGUUUUUUAAGUCNGNUGUGAAAUCCCCGGGCUCAACCUGGGAACUGCAUUGGAAACUGGCAGGCUAGAGUNUGGUAGAGGGGGGUGGAAUUCCNGGUGUAGCGGUGAAAUGCGUAGAGAUCNGGAGGAACACCGAUGGCGAAGGCGGCCCCCUGGACCAAGACUGACGCUCAGGCGCGAAAGCGUGGGGAGCAAACAG
rnacentral:rRNA from 1 species